GACGAACGCUGGCGGCGUGCUUAACACAUGCAAGUCGAACGGAAAGGCCCUGCUUUUGUGGGGUGCUCGAGUGGCGAACGGGUGAGUAACACGUGAGUAACCUCCCCUUGUCUUUGGGAUAACUUCAGGAAACUGGGGCUAAUACCGGAUAGGAUCUCCUGCCGCAGGGUGGGGGUGGGAAAGUUUCGGCGGUUGGGGAUGGACUGGCGGCUUAUCAGCUUGUUGGUGGGGUAGUGGCUUACCAAGGCUUUGACGGGUAGCCGGCCUGAGAGGGUGACCGGCCACAUUGGGACUGAGAUACGGCCCAGACUCCUACGGGAGGCAGCAGUGGGGAAUAUUGCACAAUGGGCGGAAGCCUGAUGCAGCAACGCCGCGUGCGGGAUGACGGCCUUCGGGUUGUAAACCGCUUUCGCCUGUGACGAAGCGUGAGUGACGGUAAUGGGUAAAGAAGCACCGGCUAACUACGUG
rnacentral:rRNA from 1 species